AGUGACGGUAUCCUAACCAGCAAAGGGAACGGCUAACUACGUGCCAGCAGCCGCGGUAAUACGUAGGUCCCAAGCGUUGUCCGGAUUUAUUGGGCGUAAAGCGAGCGCAGGCGGUUUCUUAAGUCUGAUGUGAAAGCCUUCGGCUCAACCGAAGAAGUGCAUCGGAAACUGGGAAACUUGAGUGCAGAAGAGGACAGUGGAACUCCAUGUGUAGCGGUGAAAUGCGUAGAUAUAUGGAAGAACACCAGUGGCGAAGGCGGCUGUCUGGUCUGUAACUGACGCUGAGGCUCGAAAGCAUGGGUAGCAAACAGGAUUAGAUACCCUGGUAGUCCAUGCCGUAAACGAUGAGUGCUAGGUGUUGGAGGGUUUCCGCCCUUCAGUGCCGCAGCUAACGCAUUAAGCACUCCGCCUGGGGAGUACGACCGCAAGGUUGAAACUCAAAGGAAUUGACGGGGGCCCGCACAAGCGGUGGAGCAUGUGGUUUAAUUCGAAGCAACGCGAAGAACCUUACAGGUCUUGACAUCCUUUGACCACUCUAGAGAUAGAGCUUUCCCUUCGGGGACAAAGUGACAGGUGGUGCAUGGUUGUCGUCAGCUCGUGUCGUGAGAUGUUGGGUUAAGUCCCGCAACGAGCGCAACCCUUAUUACUAGUUGCCAGCAUUUAGUUGGGCACUCUAGUGAGACUGCCGGUGACAAACCGGAGGAAGGUGGGGACGACGUCAAAUCAUCAUGCCCCUUAUGACCUGGGCUACACACGUGCUACAAUGGAUGGUACAACGAGUUGCGAGACCGCGAGGUUUAGCUAAUCUCUUAAAACCAUUCUCAGUUCGGAUUGUAGGCUGCAACUCGCCUACAUGAAGCCGGAAUCGCUAGUAAUCGCGGAUCAGCAUGCCGCGGUGAAUACGUUCCCGGGCCUUGUACACACCGCCCGUCA
rnacentral:rRNA from 1 species